rnacentral:rRNA from 1 species
AUUGGCUGCAUGCUUCCGCAUGGGAUAACAAAGGAUUGACCAGAUGGGCUUUCGUAUUUUGCUGGCCUUAGUGUCCAUCAAGGGCAAUACGGUGCUGUCCCCCCAGUUAGGUGGCCAACUUCGGUUGCGUUCACCCGAUUGGUGGUGCAGUGCCGACCAGUAAUGAUGGGAGCGUUCGGGGAGAUGGGUAUCGAAACGCUAGAGGUGAAAUUCUUAGAUCGCUUUGGGAUCAGCUGCAGCGAAGGCG